AGGCAACCUGCCCUCCAGACGGGGACAACAUUCCGAAAGGGGUGCUAAUACCGGAUACGAAGGAGCCAUCGCAUGGUGGUUCUUUGAAAGAUGGCCUCUACAUGUAAGCUAUCGCUGGGGGAUGGGCCUGCGUCCGAUUAGCUGGUUGGUGGGGUAACGGCCUACCAAGGCGACGAUCGGUAGCCGGUCUGAGAGGAUGAACGGCCACAUUGGGACUGAGACACGGCCCAGACUCCUACGGGAGGCAGCAGUGGGGAAUCUUCCGCAAUGGGCGCAAGCCUGACGGAGCAACGCCGCGUGAGUGAGGAAGUUUUUCGGAACGUAAAGCUCUGUUGUUCCUGACGAACGUGCCACCUAUCAACAACGGGUGGCAAUGACGGUAGGGAACGAGGAAGCCACGGCUAACUACGUGCCAGCAGCCGCGGUAAUACGUAGGUGGCAAGCGUUGUCCGGAAUUAUUGGGCGUAAAGCGCAUGUAGGCGGUGGAUUAAGUCUGUCGUGAAACUGCGGGGCUCAGCCCCGUAUGGCGAUGGAAACUGGUCCACUUGAGUGCAGGAGAGGAAAGGGGAACUCCCAGUGUAGCGGUGAAAUGCGUAGAUAUUGGGAAGAACACCGGUGGCGA
rnacentral:rRNA from 1 species